CAAGGAGGCAGACUGCUCUGGUUAACGAAAAAAUCAAGAAAGAACAGAGAAGAAUGCUGCUUCUUCCAAAGAGGGAGGUAGGGAAAAAGAAGCUGUUUCCAUUUCCAAACUCAUUAGUUGGAAGUUCAUUCUCUGGAGAAGUUCCAGGCUGGGGAACACCAGGUCUAAGAGAAGAUAGGGCCAAGGUGCUGCAUGAAAAACAAGGAGAUUAAGGGAAAUUCUGCUUGAUCUGUCUCUUGCCUGUCCUGCUGUUCCAUUUUGCAGUAUCUUAUGAGAUUCCUAAGAGUAUCCUGGACACAUUGAAGAGAAGGGUGAGCCUUACUCAUUUCCAGUGAGAGAAAUGAGUGAAAUGGGUCUGAUUUACAUCACAGUUCAGCCUUCUGUGGUGAAGUUGGUUUUCCUACUGUGACCUGUGCACUCCGGUCUACCAGCCUGACACUACACGCCAUCUGCUGGUUCCAAACUAUAUAGCUCCAGAGUAACUGCUGACGCUGUUGGGGAACAGAGGACCUGGCCUCCUGAAGAAGCACCAACAGGCCCUCUGCUUCAAGUUGUAGGUGUGAACAAAUCCAGACCACUAAGAGGCCCUCCAGUCCUCCUUGAAUUUGGGUAUGGAUCCUAAGAUUUGCUCCAGUACCUCUGCAGCCAGCACCCAGAGCAGCUAAUGAAAGGAUUCAAGCCGGACGUUCAGGGAUAAGGAGAGACGGCUACAAUGAUACUUCAAAUUGGAGUUAUCCAAAGGCUCAAUGGACUGGAUUCCAAGAUGAUGCCCUCACCUGGCUACGACUGACACAGGAUGUUGUUUAGGAGCUCAGCUGGGGACUGUCAGCUGGGGUAGCUAUCUGUGAUGUCUUCUUGUGUCUAAGCUUUUCAUAGUUUAGUGGCUGGGUCCCUAUGCAAAGUAUCACAAGAGCAAGUGGGAAGUAUCUUUGAAGAUGCAGGAAGUGGAAGCUGCCAGUCCUUUUAAAGACUAGGAACCGUAAUUGAUUUGUGUCACUUCUGCUAUAUUCUGUUGGCAAAGGCAAUCACAGGUCAGCCCAAAUUUUAGCAGAUGGAGGAUAUAGGCUUCACUUGUAUAAGGUAUGAUGUGGUAAUUCAAUAUGUAUGCUGCAUGUAGUGAUCAAAUCAGGGCAAUUAACAUUUCUUUCUCCACAAACAUUUAUUACUUUGCUGUGUUGAGAACCCUUGCACUUCACUCUUCUAUUCUGUAUAAAAUAUAUGGUGAAUUAUUGUGCACUAUACAGAUUUCACUUCUUAGUGGAGGAAUAAGUACAGCAUGGAAGGAGGGAAGGAAAUGAUGGCAGCCUUCUUGGAGAAAGUUACCACAUGAUAUGUCCCCAGACAAAUGUGUAGGUUCAGUGAAGCUCCCACAGGAUGGACUCAGGUUGACUGCCAAUCAAAGAGUUAUGGAGAAAAUAAACCCAUUUGCAAAAAAUAAAAUCAAAUCUUCACUCUCCCCGCUCUCUACCCCAGUAGUGUUCCGCACUCACCAAACACACACCUGGAGGCAGAAUGAGAUGGCUCAGAACUCUAACAAAGCAGCUGGUGGAACUGAGCUGUGGGGUAAGGGCUUAUGUCACUAUUUUAUCCUUUGACUAUUCCCUCAUGCUGGUGUGGCCUAGAAAAUUACCUGUUACAUACAAGUAAAAAUUCAGACUCAGAGGACUAAGAUUUACCAUCAUCAAGACAAUUCAAAAGAGUAUGCUGUAGGUUUGAAGACAAUUUCCAGAGAGACACACAUUCUCAGAAUGUUUCCAGUAAUGACAAAAUCAUUGGAAUAAGCGGCUGACCUCCUCCCUGGGGGACUAUGCUCAUUAAGAUGUAUGUGUUCAGGACUGUUAAAAUUCCAGCUCAUUAUCUAAUAGUUGUACCUUGUGCACUUGGAUACCUCUGAAAAUGCUUCCAGCCCUUCCAUUUCAGUCAUAACAACCAACUGACAGUCUCCUAUACUUUUGAGAGGCUUUAAGGGAAGGUUCUUAUAGCAAAGUUAAAAGUGAAAAGGAAAAACUCAAAAGGAAGUACCACUAUUGAUAACCCUGUCUAUUCAUUUCCCUUGAAGUAAUUUAAGACCAUGAGGAAAGAAUUCUUCCUAGCUUUAGGGUCAGUGCUCAAGUCUUCAUUCAUUCUUUUCUCUCUUUAAUUUGCACAUUCCAGCAGGGAAACUGUAUUCCAAUCUCAAGAACAAUUCCAGAGCCCAAGCCAACUGUGCUGUGGAAGCAAUGUGAAUCAAUAUUCAUUGAUCACUAGCAUUUGUUCUUUGGCCUCUAAUUCAAAUGUCCUUUCCACUAGAAGCCUCCUCUAAACUUUCUUUUCCUGUGGUAGAAUCUAAUCAUUCCCACCACCAUAUUCCCUUUCGGUAAAGCAUUUGACUCUGCAUUUAAUUCUUUUUUCUCCCUUUUUAAUUUAUAACUAAAUUAUGAGCAGCUUGAGAUCAAUUAUCAGUUACAUUCAUGCUUAGGUCUCCAGUACCAAGCACAAAGUCUGGCAUCUGAGGGAGUACUCAAUCAAUGUUUGUUCAAUGAAUAAAUGUGGUAAGAGGUCUUCCAGAAGUAUGCCAAUAGGGUGCACUGGAGAGCCAACGAGUUCAGUUUAAUUAUAUCUAAAAUAAGAGAUAUGUCUCUAAGGAAGUAGCUUCACAAAUAUGAGAGGAUAAAAUACACAUGCAAAUAAAAUCUGGACAUUAAAGAAUAUGGUACAGAGAAGGCACUCUAUUUUAUGAGAUUUGAGUGAGUUACAAAACCAGCUCAGGAUCUAAGGAGCAGAGGGAUCUUUUGUUUAUCCACUCAAGUCUAAAAAUCUAAUGUACAUGUGACAAAAUUAAUAUUGUAUCAUUGUAUUAGUGAUUUUUAUUAUAAAAAUAAAUUGUAGCUACUCUCACAAAAAGUGAACAUAUGAGAUGUCAGAUAUGUUGGUCUACUUUACUAUGGUAGACAUUUUACUAUCUAUAUAUAUUUCCUAACAUCAUAUUGUAAACUUCAAAUACACACAGUGAAAUUUAUUUAAAAACUCAUUUGCUGAUCACCUUCUACAAAUUAUAUACUCCUAAUUCUCAUUUAAGAACUUUCAUGUUUCCUGAAAACACUGCCACUAAACUUAAAAACUUAAAUGUCAAAAUAUUUUUAUUCAUAUUGAAGGAAAAAAUUUGUUGUGUUUCAUGUGUAAGAUACCAAACCUAAGGUAUCGAUUUCCGCAGAUACAAAAAUGUACCAAGUUGAAUGAUGAAAACAAAAGUAUUUGUAAGCAUGCACUAUGUUCAUUGCCUCAUUGUUCACAAUAGCAAAGAUAUAGAAUCAAUUUCAGUAUUUAUCAGUGGAUGAAUAGAUGAAGAAAUAUGACAAAUAUGCACUAUGAAAUACAAUUCAGUUUUUAAAAAGAAGAAAAUCCUGUCGAUUACAGCACCAUGGAUGAAUCUGGGGGACAUUACAUCAAGUGAAAUAAGUCAGAAAGAGCAUGACAAAUGGUUCAUGAUCUCACUCAUGUGUGGAAUCUAAAGUUGAACUCACAGAAGAGUAGAAUUGUGACUACCAGAGCCUGGAGGUAGUACUUGGAGAGAUGUUAGUGAAGGGAUACCAAAAAAUCAGUUAGAUAGGAGGAAUAAAUUUAAGAUAUCUAUUGUAUAAGAUGGAGAAUACAGUUAAUAACAAUGUACAGUAAGUCCCUGACUUACAAACAUUCAAGUUGCAAACUUUCACAGAUAUGAAUGGACCUCACAUUUUGAACAUUCAUAGAUAUGAACAAAUCGUGGAUGUAGCUCAUGUGUCCGCUGGACACUGUCACAAUUGUGCUGCUGUGUGCUUACUGUACAGUGCAAUAGUGGACAGUAGUACAGUGCUGAAUCAGAGCUCAGGAUGUCCAGAAGCAAAAAAAAAAAAAAAACAGUAGUGGUGAUGUGGAGGGGACUGCUAGGAAGGACAAAGCAAUAUACAUAGUACUGCAUAGAGGUGUAUAAGACUCCUGUUGUCUGACUCACAAACAAAUCUUAUGAACAUUCACCCGGAAUGGAGCUUGUUGGUAUGUUGGAGAUUUAACUGUAAUAUAAUCUUGAAAAUACAGUGGUACCUCAGUUCACAAACUUAAUUUGUUCCAUGAUUCUGGAAAAGAUAGCCACAUUCUUGUUAGUACAGGAAACAUGGCCACGGUUGUGUUUGUGCCUGAAAGAUGUGUGGUCAUGUUCAUCACCUGAUGUACAGUUCACAAACAAAAACAAAAAUUUGCGAAAUUGUUCCCAAACAAAAGCAUGUGUGAACCAAGGUACCACUAUAGAUUAUAAGUGUUCUCACCACAUGAACUUAUAAGCAUGAGAGAUGAUGCACAUGGUAAACAGCAAAAUCUAGCUAUUCCGUAAUGUAUAUAUAUUACAAAUAUUAGUUGUAUCUAUUUAUCAUGCUGUAUAAUAAAUAUAUACAAUUGUAAUUUGUUAAUUAAAAUAAAAAUUUUAAAGUAUUUAUAAAUAAUAAAUUUUGAAAAUAAAUAAAUGUGAUGUAAUACAAGGAUGACGGUGUAGUUUGUGUCACUUUUGAACAGUGUAUUCUUU
ensembl:lncRNA